rnacentral:rRNA from 1 species
UUCCCGGGCCUUGUACACACCGCCCGUCACACCGACGAAAGUCGGCAAUACCCGAAGCCGGUGGCCUAACCCGCAAGGGAGGGAGCCGUCGAAGGUAGGGUCGAUGAUUGGGGUG